rnacentral:lncRNA from 1 species
AAGUAAUAGAAUAUUUUUUAUUGUGUCGUUCAUUCUUGUUGCAUCCUGAAACCUCCAAAAUCUCCCCCAAGUAAACUUCAUGCUUCUUCAGAGUAAAAUCAACCUUCAGUUUUCAGGAAGAUAAUCAGAGAAGUACAAGACAAAGGUAUGCUCUGCAAAGAGUUGAGAAGGAUUCCCAGGUCUUUAUUGGACUCACAUCAUAGGAAAUCUAUUUUCAUUACUGUAAACUAACUAAUGAACAAAACCCAAAGCAUCAGAAACUUCUGCACCCCUGCACCUCUUUACCUCAAAAAUAAACAGUUGUGGAGAGCAACCUGUGGCAGUGGUAACUCCUGGAGUUGCUAUCACAUUAACCCCAAAGGUGUUUAUAUUACCCAAGUGUGCUGUAAAAAGGAAUAAAAUUACAAUGAAACAGAAGUAAUGUUAGGUUAGG